UUUCUCUCACAAACAUACAUAAAUAUACAUUCUGAGCUCCUUUCUUCCUUGGUUAGGCAUAUAAGGAUGAGGUAGAAAGGGAUGAGAGUAUUGGGAAGUUGUUAGGUGUGGGUGGGGUGGAAAGAUUUUACCUAUUUAUUCUUUCCAACCUAUUUUUGGUUUGGAAAAAUAAGAAAAAGAGUUAAAUCUUUCCUACUCCUCCCAUACCCAUGACUUCCACUAACUUCUCCCUUUCUUGAUUUCUCAUCUGUUUGCAAACUUCAUCACUUGCUUUUCUUUUUGUUCAGAAGAUUAUAAUUGUGAUAACUGCUGAUUUAUUAUUAAUAUGAUAGAUUAACUGCUGAUUUAUUAUUAAUAUGAUAGAUUAAUCUUAACUUCUGAAAUUCCUGAAUUAUUAUACCUACAAGCAAUUGGAUGUAAAAUAUAUCCACAGUACUCCUUGACUAAAGUUGGAAAAAGGUCAUCUGAAAUUUUAGAAGUUUGAAAUCUUUAUGUACAAUCCCAAGUGGUUGUUGUUGUUAUUCAAAUCAUUUCCUUUUGGAUUAGGUUUGUUACAAACUAGUAGUUUAGUUGGGAGAUAGUUUAAUUAUUAUAGAUUCUGAUUCAUUGUGAGCUUCAACUUGGUUUAUUUGUUGGUUUCCAGAGAAUGAGAUAAAUCACUUUAAGCUUGCA